rnacentral:rRNA from 1 species
AUGGCUCAGGACGACCGCUGGCGGCGUGCCUAACACAUGCAAGUCGAGCGAGGAGAUCCUCGGGAUGAUCCUAGCGGCGGACGGGUGAGUAACACGUGGGCAACCUGCCUCAUAGAGAGGAAUAGCCUUCCGAAAGGGAGAUUAAUACCUCAUAACAUUGCAGUUUCGCAUGGAACAGCAAUUAAAGGAGCAAUCCGCUAUGAGAUGGGCCCGCGGCGCAUUAGCUAGUUGGUGAGGUAACGGCUCACCAAGGCGACGAUGCGUAGCCGACCUGAGAGGGUGAUCGGCCACAUUGGGACUGAGACACGGCCCAGACUCCUACGGGAGGCAGCAGUGGGGAAUAUUGCACAAUGGGGGAAACCCUGAUGCAAGCAACGCCGCGUGAGUGAUGACGGCCUUCGGGUUGUAAAGCUCUGUCUUCAGGGACGAUAAUGACGGUACCUGAGGAGGAAGCCACGGCUAGCUACGUGCCAGCCGCCGC